CAGUCGCCGCGGGAAUACAGAGGGUGCAAGCGUUAAUCGGAAUUACUGGGCGUAAAGCGCGCGUAGGUGGUUUGUUAAGUCGGAUGUGAAAUCCCCGGGCUCAACCUGGGAACUGCAUCCGAAACUGGCAAGCUAGAGUAUGGUAGAGGGUAGUGGAAUUUCCUGUGUAGCGGUGAAAUGCGUAGAUAUAGGAAGGAACACCAGUGGCGAAGGCGACUACCUGGACUGAUACUGACACUGAGGUGCGAAAGCGUGGGGAGCAAACAGGAUUAGAUACCCCGGUAGUCCCUGUCUCUUAUAC
rnacentral:rRNA from 1 species